UGGGGAAUUUUGGACAAUGGGCGCAAGCCUGAUCCAGCCAUGCCGCGUGCGGGAAGAAGGCCUUCGGGUUGUAAACCGCUUUUGUCAGGGAAGAAAUCUUCUGAGUUAAUACCUCGGGAGGAUGACGGUACCUGAAGAAUAAGCACCGGCUAACUACGUGCCAGCAGCCGCGGUAAUACGUAGGGUGCAAGCGUUAAUCGGAAUUACUGGGCGUAAAGCGUGCGCAGGCGGUUUUGUAAGACAGAGGUGAAAUCCCCGGGCUCAACCUGGGAACUGCCUUUGUGACUGCAAGGCUUGAGUGCGGCAGAGGGGGAUGGAAUUCCGCGUGUAGCAGUGAAAUGCGUAGAUAUGCGGAGGAACACCGAUGGCGAAGGCAAUCCCCUGGGCCUGCACUGACGCUCAUGCACGAAAGCGUGGGGAGCAAACAGGAUUAGAUACCCUGGUAGUCCACGCCCUAAAACGAUGUCAACUGGUUGUUGGGAAGGUUCCUUCUCAGUAACGUAGCUAACGCGUGAAGUUGACCGCCUGGGGAGUACGGCCGCAAGGUUGAAACUUAAAUGAAUUGAC
rnacentral:rRNA from 1 species